UGAAAUGCGAAAAGUAAUGCGAUUUGCAUGAAUCUGUGAGUCAUCAAGUCUUUGAACGCACCUUGCACCGUAUGAGCAAUCGUACGGUAUACCUGUUUGAGAAUCGUAACCAUCUUCUAUUAGCAAUAAUGGAGACUUGUCGGCUUUGGCCUCGGCCAAUCCGAUUAAAUGCAGUAGGGUCUAGUCAGGCUGGUGGCCAGAGACACUGUGUGCUAGAGACAGCGGCUUUCCCGUCAAAGGGGGUCCAGUCUUCUCACGGUGCGUCUUUGGUCUAUACAGCUGGUCUGGCGGCGGCCCUUAACGGAGAAAGACUUUGACGAGUCGAAAGACUUUGACGAAUCUUUUCCAUCAUCUCUUUGAUCUCAAAUCAGGUAAGGCUACCCGCUGAACUUAA
rnacentral:misc_RNA from 1 species